AGUGAACGCUGGCGGUAGGCCUAACACAUGCAAGUCGAACGGCAGCACAGUAAGAGCUUGCUCUUACGGGUGGCGAGUGGCGGACGGGUGAGGAAUACAUCGGAAUCUACUUUUUCGUGGGGGAUAACGUAGGGAAACUUACGCUAAUACCGCAUACGACCUACGGGUGAAAGCAGGGGAUCUUCGGACCUUGCGCGAUUGAAUGAGCCGAUGUCGGUUUAGCUAGUUGGCGGGGUAAAGGCCCACCAAGGCGACGAUCCGUAGCUGGUCUGAGAGGAUGAUCAGCCACACUGGAACUGAGACACGGUCCAGACUCCUACGGGAGGCAGCAGUGGGGAAUAUUGGACAAUGGGCGCAAGCCUGAUCCAGCCAUACCGCGUGGGUGAAGAAGGCCUUCGGGUUGUAAAGCCCUUUUGUUGGGAAAGAAAAGCAGCAGGUUAAUACCCCGCUGUUCUGACGGUACCGAAAGAAUAAGCACCGGCUAACUUCGUG
rnacentral:rRNA from 1 species